rfam:Ictidomys tridecemlineatus contig099807, whole genome shotgun sequence.
GAGGUUGUAGCUCAGUGGUAGAGCGCUCGCCUAGUACGUGGAAGGCACUGGGUUCAAUCCUCAGCACCACA